rnacentral:rRNA from 1 species
UACAGAGGUCCCAAGCGUUGCUCGGAUUUAUUGGGCGUAAAGCGCGCGUAGGCGGCCGUCUAAGUCAGAUGUGAAAUCCCCCGGCUUAACCUGGGAACUGCGUCUGAUACUGGGAGGCUUGAGUAUGGGAGAGGGAUGUAGAAUUCCAGGUGUAGCGGUGAAAUGCGUAGAUAUCUGAAGGAAUACCGGUGGCGAAGGCGGCAUCCUGGACCGAGAUUGACGCUGAGGAGCGAAAGCUAGGGGAGCAAACAGG